rnacentral:ribozyme from 1 species
CCCGACCGUAGCUGCUACCUUGACGUGGUGGUCGGGCUUGUCUAUAUUGACGACCCAAUUGAGCUAUCUUGGCUGGAACAUAUGUUCCUGUAGGUUCUACCAUGCCAGCCAUGUCAAUUGGAGAACGGUUAGACUAAAAGCAGC